UGAUCCAUUUCUUUGAUUCUUUUCUCUCAUUCGUUGUUUUUGAUCAUUAAUUUAUAUUUUAUAUAGUAUCCCAUGCCAAGGAUCAUCAAAUUAUUUCUUAAGCUCUAAAGAUUACCUUCUCUCUCUCCUCUGGCACAGUUCUGAUUGAGACUUUGGUGUGUGCCAGAGCUCGAGUUGACUCGGAUGAUUCUGAGAGUCGACUCAUGCGCGAGUCGACUCGCGAAUUACCAAAAGUCGACUCGAGGUCGGGAAUCCAUCUUUUAACCCUAAACGAACCGACU
rnacentral:lncRNA from 1 species